rnacentral:rRNA from 1 species
UGGGGAAUUUUGGACAAUGGGGGAAACCCUGAUCCAGCCAUCCCGCGUGUGCGAUGAAGGCCUCCGGGUUGUAAAGCACUUUUGGCAGGAAAGAAACGUCAUGGGUUAAUACCCCGUGAAACUGACGGUACCUGCAGAAUAAGCACCGGCUAACUACGUGCCAGCAGCCGCGGUAAUACGUAGGGUGCAAGCGUUAAUCGGAAUUACUGGGCGUAAAGCGUGCGCAGGCGGUUCGGAAAGAAAGAUGUGAAAUCCCAGAGCUCAACUUUGGAACUGCAUUUUUAACUACCGGGCUAGAGUGUGUCAGAGGGAGGUGGAAUUCCGCGUGUAGCAGUGAAAUGCGUAGAUAUGCGGAGGAACACCGAUGGCGGAGGCAGCCUCCUGGGAUAACACUGACGCUCAUGCACGAAAGCGUGGGGAGCAAACAGG